UACGUAGGGGGCAAGCGUUGUCCGGAAUCAUUGGGCGUAAAGCGCGUGUAGGCGGCUGGGUAAGUCCGCUCUGAAAGCCCGGGGGCUCAACCCCGGGAGGCGGGUGGAUACUGCUCAGCUCGAGUCCGGAAGAGGAGUGUGGAAUUCCUGGUGUAGCGGUGAAAUGCGCAGAUAUCAGGAGGAACACCAAUGGCGAAGGCAGCACUCUGGGACGGUACUGACGCUGAGACGCGAAAGCGUGGGGAGCAAACAGG
rnacentral:rRNA from 1 species